rnacentral:rRNA from 1 species
UACAGAGGGUGCGAGCGUUGUUCGGAAUUAUUGGGCGUAAAGGGCGCGUAGGCGGUGCGGUAAGUCACCUGUGAAAUCUCCUGGCUCAACUGGGAGCUUGCAGGCGAAACUGCCGUGCUGGAGUGUGGGAGAGGUGCGUGGAAUUCUUGGUGUAGCAGUGAAAUGCGUAGAUAUCAAAGAGGAACACCAGUGGCGAAGGCGAGUCCCUGGACAACUUCUGACGCUGAGGCACGAAAGCUAGGGGAGCAAACAGG